rnacentral:rRNA from 1 species
UACGAAGGUCCCAAGCGUUGUUCGGAAUUACUGGGCGUAAAGGGCGCGUAGGCGGUGCGGUAAGUCUGUAGUGAAAUCUCUGGGCUCAACUCAGAGUCUGCUGCAGAAACUGCCGUGCUUGAGUGUGGGGAGAGGUGAGUGGAAUUCCCGGUGUAGCAGUGAAAAUGCGUAGAGAUCGGAAGGAACAUCAGUGGCGAAAGCGGCUUCCUGGACCAGAACUGACGAUCAGGCUCGAAAGCGUGGGGGAGCAAACAGG